AUUCCAGCUCCAAUAGCGUAUAUUAAAGUUGUUGCAGUUAAAAAGCUCGUAGUUGGACUUCUGAUGUGGAGGGACGGUCCGCCUCACGGUGAGCACUGAUUCUUCACGUCUUCCUCUCGUAGUCUUUUGGCGCACUUAGUUGGGUGCCUUUAGAAUAUGGGACCUUUACUUUGAAAAAAUUAGAGUGUUCAAAGCAGGCAAUCGCUUGAAUACAUUAGCAUGGAAUAAUAGAAUAGGACUUUGGUUCUAUUUUGUUGGUUUCUAGGACCGAAGUAAUGAUUAAUAGGGACAGUUGGGGGCAUUAGUAUUUAAUUGUCAGAGGUGAAAUUCUUGGAUUUAUGAAAGACUAACUACUGCGAAAGCAUUUGCCAAGGAUGUUUUCAUUA
rnacentral:rRNA from 1 species